GAUGAACGCUGGCGGCGUGCCUAAUACAUGCAAGUCGAGCGAACAGACGAGGAGCUUGCUCCUCUGACGUUAGCGGCGGACGGGUGAGUAACACGUGGAUAACCUACCUAUAAGACUGGGAUAACUUCGGGAAACCGGAGCUAAUACCGGAUAAUAUAUUGAACCGCAUGGUUCAAUAGUGAAAGACGGUUUUGCUGUCACUUAUAGAUGGAUCCGCGCCGCAUUAGCUAGUUGGUAAGGUAACGGCUUACCAAGGCAACGAUGCGUAGCCGACCUGAGAGGGUGGUCGGCCACACUGGAACUGAGACGCGGUCCAGACUCCUACGGGAGGCAGCAGUAGGGAAUCUUCGGCAAUGGGCGAAAGCCUGACGGAGCAACGCCGCGUGAGUGAUGAAGGUCUUCGGAUCGUAAAACUCUGUUAUUAGGGAAGAACAAAUGUGUAAGUAACUAUGCACGUCUUGACGGUACCUAAUCAGAAAGCCACGGCUAACUACGUG
rnacentral:rRNA from 1 species